UACGGGGGGGGCAAGCGUUGUUCGGAAUUACUGGGCGUAAAGGGCUCGUAGGCGGCCAACUAAGUCAGACGUGAAAUCCCUCGGCCUAACCGGGGAACUGCGUCUGAUACUGGAUGGCUUGAGGUUGGGAGAGGGAUGCGGAAUUCCAGGUGUAGCGGUGAAAUGCGUAGAUAUCUGGAGGAACACCGGUGGCGAAGGCGGCAUCCUGGACCAAUUCUGACACUGAGGAGCGAAAGCCAGGGGAGCAAACGGG
rnacentral:rRNA from 1 species